rnacentral:rRNA from 1 species
UACAGAGGGUGCGAGCGUUAAUCGGAAUUACUGGGCGUAAAGCGUGCGUAGACGGUUAUUUAAGUCGGGUGUGAAAGCCCGGGCUCAACCUGGGAAUUGCAUUCGAGACUGAAUAGCUAGGGUACGGUAGAGGGAAGUGGAAUUCCGGUGUAGCGGUGAAAUGCGCCAGAUAUCAGGAGGAACACCGGUGGCGAAGGCGGGUCUCUGGGCAACAACGUGACGCUGGAGGAGCGAAAGCGUGGGGAGCGAACAGG